rnacentral:rRNA from 1 species
AGUGAACGCUGGCGGUAGGCCUAACACAUGCAAGUCGAACGGCAGCACAGUAAGAGCUUGCUCUUACGGGUGGCGAGUGGCGGACGGGUGAGGAAUACAUCGGAAUCUACUUUUUCGUGGGGGAUAACGUAGGGAAACUUACGCUAAUACCGCAUACGACCUACGUGUGAAAGCAGGGGAUCUUCGGACCUUUCGCGAUUGAAUGAGCCGAUGUCGGAUUAGCUAGUUGGCGGGGUAAAGGCCCACCAAGGCGACGAUCCGUAGCUGGUCUGAGAGGAUGAUCAGCCACACUGGAACUGAGACACGGUCCAGACUCCUACGGGAGGCAGCAGUGGGGAAUAUUGGACAAUGGGCGCAAGCCUGAUCCAGCAAUACCGCGUGGGUGAAGAAGGCCUUCGGGUUGUAAAGCCAUUUUGUUGGGAAAGAAAAGCAGCAGGUUAAUACCCCGCUGUUCUGACGGUACCCAAAGAAUAAGCACCGGCUAACUUCGUG